UCCCAUCAUUAAGGAUCCUCCAAUCUUUUGAGUGAGCAAAAAUGGAACUCUGGCUAAACCUCCUGUCCUUCUUAGUUCUCCUCAGAGGUGGCCAAUCUGAGGUCCAUUUGGUGGAAUCUGGAGGGGAUGUGAGAAGACCUGGAGAGUCCCUCCGUCUCUCCUGCCAAGCCUCUGAAUUCACCUUCAGCAGCUACUGGAUGAGCUGGGUGAGACAGGCUCCAGGGAAAGGACUGGAAUGGGUGGCAUUCAUAGACACUGGUUCCGGUACUUCCUACCCAGACAAAGUGAAGGGACGGUUCACCAUCUCCAGGGACAAUGCCAAAAACCAGCUGUAUCUGCAGAUAAACAGCCUCAAAGCUGAAGACACGGCUGUCUAUUACUGUGCUAGAGACACAGUGAGAGGAAUUAUAUGUGAAGCCAAGCAAAAACUGCCCAUUUCACCCAGCAGCUCUGUAAACAUUUCUAACAAAAACAACUUCAUUAAUUUGGAUUCUUCCUUCAUGUCUUCAUUCUGCACUUCAACCUUCAUCCAUUCAAUGCAUACGAAUGAUACUCUUUUUUUAUGUAAUGAACACCACAUUUCAAUUACAUACUCAAUCCAGGUUGAUAUUUACUCAGUCUAUUCAUUCCUGACCCCACCCACUGAUUUCACCACCCAUAUUUCUUAG